ensembl:lincRNA
AUGUCAGUUCUCAGUGAGUGGCUGGGACAGCUGCAGGUCGGGGCUCUGCCUUCUGUCUACUUCAGUGAAUCCAAACUGCAGACCUGGGCCCACUUCGCGGACCUCGUGGAAGAUGCUUUGAAAUCAGUGAGGAAAGAGCUUAGUCCUCUCCUGCAGGAUCUGCAGAAGGGCAUCGGUGCCAGGAUGAUUGGGCAAUUCAUGUUUGACUCCAUGAGCACGGCUGACAUUCUCAAUAACCAAGACACAGCGCAAGCUCUGGUGGAUGGAUUAGAAGAGCUGUCAAAAGAACAUUCUGACAAACCCCUGGAGUUCUUGUCAGAUUUUCUGCUGAAGAAAAGUAAAAAGAGCAAAGAUCAUGAAGGGAAUAUUAUUUUGACAAAAUGUGACCCAAAAGAAACUCUCAGUUUACUCACGAAGAAAGGAGAUGUGAUAGAAGACAAUUCUCGGGACACCAAGUGGAGUCUGAGCCACGGCGAUCUCCAUUCGGAGGGGCUGGCCAAGCUGGUAAGCCCAUUAUUAUGUGACGUGAAUCUCCAUUCGUUCUGCUCCUAACGGUGAGGCUUCAGUCUGCAUUUGGUUAAUGAACCUUUCCCUCAGAGGGAAGAGAACCCUAAAAAUAACUGAGGGAAAUCCAGCUGGUUGAUUUUUUACUCUUGAAUAAGCCCAGGACUGAAAAGAAGCUGACUUAAAAGGAUGGGGACGUAAUGUCGGGGGAGAAAGCCAGUCUGUGUGCCUCUCCAUCAUUUCCCAUACUAGGACGUCAUUUAAGGAAAUGACACAUGCACGUAAAGGCUUACAGUUUCUAACUGAUCCACCAACUCACCGUCUGACGUCCAAAGCUGACUCUGAUCAAAAUGGAGCUUAGAGAUCCGUCAUUCUGGCAAGAAGUCAGGCAGGGAGGAGGUUGUUGUAAAGGGGAAGGCUGGUCCUUUCCCACAGAACUCACAGCAUAUGCAGGGGGUUUUGUAUUUAUACACAUGCGCACACUGAUCAUCAUCACGUUUCGCUCAGGAGCCUGGACAGUAGACAUCAGUAGUUGCCUUCCACAGAUGAAGAGCUACAGUGAGACAGCGGCACAGUUUGUAAUAGCUAAAUCUUGGAAACAACCUAUUUGCCCAUCCGUUGGAAACUGGAUAAAGAAGUUGUGGUUUUUCUAUAAAAUGGAAUAUUACUCAGCCAUAAAGAGCGAGAGAAUAGAUUCAUUCAUAGGAAAAUGGAUACAUAUUGAAGAUAUACUCCUAAGUGAAAUAAAUAAGUCCCACAUGUGUAAAUACCGAAUAGUUUCCCUGGUGUGAAUAUUCUGCAACAAUGCAUAAGAUUCUAAUAAGAUUACUGACAUUUAGAAAUUUGAAGAAAGAGGCUAAAGGUGUAGGGAAGGUGUGAUGCGUAGGGGAAGAACAAAAAGGGAAAAGAAAAAAAUGUGAGAGAAUGAAAAGAUGAAAAUAAAGUGUUUGUAGAUGGGGAGGGGAGGAGGGGGUGAAGGGAGGGCAGAGGUAAGGGGAAAAAAUGAGAAUCAAGACUUGCCAUGUAAAGGUACAUGAUCCCAACAAUGAAUGUAACUGUACUAUAUCCCUAAAAUGUACCAAUAAACUCAAUAAAAUUAAAAAAAAAAAAGGCUCCCCUGAGGCCUGACAGCUGGGAGAGAGGAAAAAAACAUAUAUAUGAGUCACUCCUGUGGUCCUGAGCUCAGACCCAAGGGUUUUCAGGGCCCCAGGGCACCUAGAGUGUGUCUGGCCAGGGACCUCGGGGCAUGGGAACCCCAUCUCCCCCAGCUCCAUUGCCAGGAACCACCAAGGAGAGUAUGAUGGUAUCUCCUGUGAAUAAAGAUGCAGCAUCUGGCUGUGCUUUAAGCACAAAAGGUUUGACAUUUGAAACUUUAAACCACAAUAAUUAUAAAUGUUGAGCUGGGUGUGAUGGCACACGCCUGUGCUCCCAGCACUUGGGAGGCUGAGGCAGGAAGAUGGCCAUGAGUUGGAGGUCAGCCUGGGCUACAUAAUGAAUUCAAAACUAGCCUGAACUACACACGGAGAAGAAAAAAAAAAAAAAAAAAAAAAGUUGGCGAAGGCCAAUAUUAAAAAACAGAUAGACUAGUAAGUGCACAUAAAAAUAGAA